UUAAGGGAUAGGGAAUCUAGACCCGAAAAGCUGUCCUCUACAGCCUGCCCUUUAAUUUAUCUAUAGAGG
rnacentral:sRNA from 1 species